GACGAACGCUGGCGGCGUGCUUAACACAUGCAAGUCGAACGGAAAGGCCCUGCUUUUGUGGGGUGCUCGAGUGGCGAACGGGUGAGUAACACGUGAGUAACCUGCCCUUGACUUUGGGAUAACUUCAGGAAACUGGGGCUAAUACCGGAUAGGAGCUCCUGCUGCAUGGUGGGGGUUGGAAAGUUUCGGCGGUUGGGGAUGGACUCGAGGCUUAUCAGCUUGUUGGUGGGGUAGUGGCUUACCAAGGCUUUGACGGGUAGCCGGCCUGGGAGGGUGACCGGCCACAUUGGGACUGAGAUACAGCCCAGACUCCUACGGGAGGCAGCAGUGGGGAAUAGUGCACAAUGGGCGGAAGCCUGAUGCAGCAACGCCGCGUGCGGGAUGACGGCCUUCGGGUUGUAAACCGCUUUCGCCUGUGACGAAGCGUGAGUGACGGUAAUGGGUAAAGAAGCACCGACUAACUACGUG
rnacentral:rRNA from 1 species